AUUGAACGCUGGCGGCAUGCUUUACACAUGCAAGUCGAACGGUAACAGGCCGCAAGGUGCUGACGAGUGGCGAACGGGUGAGUAAUGCAUCGGAACGUGCCCAGUCGUGGGGGAUAACGCGGCGAAAGCUGCGCUAAUACCGCAUACGAUCUGCGGAUGAAAGCGGGGGACCUUCGGGCCUCGCGCGAUUGGAGCGGCCGAUGUCAGAUUAGGUAGUCGGUGGGGUAAAGGCCCACCAAGCCGACGAUCUGUAGCUGGUCUGAGAGGACGACCAGCCACACGGGGACUGGGACACGGCCCAGACUCCUACGGGAGGCAGCAGUGGGGAAUUUUGGACAAUGGGCGCAAGCCUGAUCCAGCAAUGCCGCGUGCAGGAAGAAGGCCUUCGGGUUGUAAACUGCUUUUGUACGGAACGAAACGGCUCUGGUUAAUACCCGGGGCUAAUGACGGUACCUGAGGAAUAAGUCACGGCUAACUACGUGCCAGCCGCCGCCGUAA
rnacentral:rRNA from 1 species